rnacentral:rRNA from 1 species
AUUGAACGCUGGCGGCAGGCCUAACACAUGCAAGUCGAACGAGUGGCGGACGGGUGAGUAAUGUCUGGGAAACUGCCUGAUGGAGGGGGAUAACUACUGGAAACGGUAGCUAAUACCGCAUACCAUCAGAUGUGCCCAGAUGGGAUUAGCUAGUAGGUGGGGUAAUGGCUCACCUAGGCGACGAUCCCUAGCUGGUCUGAGAGGAUGACCAGCCACACGGGAACUGAGACACGGUCCAGACUCCUACGGGAGGCAGCAGUGGGGAAUAUUGCACAAUGGGCGCAAGCCUGAUACAGCCAUGCCGCGUGUAUGAAGAAGGCCUUCGGGUUGUAAAGUACUUUCAGCGAGGAGGCGUUACUCGCAGAAGAAGCACCGGCUAACUCCGUGCCAGCAGCCGCGGUAAUAC